rnacentral:rRNA from 1 species
AUUGAACGCUGGCGGCAUGCCUUACACAUGCAAGUCGAACGGCAGCACGGGAGCAAUCCUGGUGGCGAGUGGCGAACGGGUGAGUAAUAUACCGGAACGUGCCCAGUCGUGGGGGAUAACGUAGCGAAAGCUACGCUAAUACCGCAUACGAUCUACGGAUGAAAGCGGGGGAUCGCAAGACCUCGCGCGAUUGGAGCGGCCGAUAUCAGAUUAGGUAGUUGGUGAGGUAAAGGCUCACCAAGCCGACGAUCUGUAGCUGGUCUGAGAGGACGACCAGCCACACUGGGACUGAGACACGGCCCAGACUCCUACGGGAGGCAGCAGUGGGGAAUUUUGGACAAUGGGCGGCAAGCCUGAUCCAGCAAUGCCGCGUGCAGGAUGAAGGCC